rnacentral:rRNA from 1 species
UACAGAGGUCCCGAGCGUUGUUCGGAUUCAUUGGGCGUAAAGGGUGCGUAGGCGGCUUGCUAAGUCUGAUGUGAAAUCCUGGGGCUCAACCCUGGAACUGCAUUGGAUACUGGUGAGCUAGAGUACUGGAGAGGAAACUGGAAUUUACGGUGUAGCAGUGAAAUGCGUAGAUAUCGUAAGGAAGACCAGUGGCGAAGGCGAGUUUCUGGACAGUUACUGACGCUGAGGCACGAAGGCCAGGGGAGCAAACGGG